ensembl:snRNA U6 U6 spliceosomal RNA
GUGCUCGCUUCGGCAGCACAUAUACUAAAAUUGGAACGAUACAGAGAAGAUUAGCACGGCCCCUGCUCAGGGAUGACUUCUUUUAAUUGCUUUAAAUAAAAUACAUGAAU